rnacentral:rRNA from 1 species
UACGGGGGGGCAAGGCGUUGUUCGGAAUUACUGGGCGUAAAGGGCUCGUAGGCGGCCAACUAAGUCGGAUGUGAAUCCCCAGGCUCAACUUGGGAACUGCAUCCGAUACUGGAUGGCUUGAAUUCGGGAGAGGGAUGCAGAAUUCCAGGUGUAGCGGUGAAAUGCGUAGAUAUCGGUAGGAACACCAGUGGCGAAGGCGGUCUCCUGGGGCAUUCUUGACGC